rnacentral:rRNA from 1 species
CCUACGGGAGGCAGCAGUGGGGAAUUUUGGACAAUGGGCGCAAGCCUGAUCCAGCAAUGCCGCGUGAGUGAAGAAGGCCUUCGGGUUGUAAAGCUCUUUUGUCAGGGAAGAAACGGUCUACUCUAAUACAGUGGGCUAAUGACGGUACCUGAAGAAUAAGCACCGGCUAACUACGUGCCAGCAGCCGCGGUAAUACGUAGGGUGCAAGCGUUAAUCGGAAUUACUGGGCGUAAAGCGUGCGCAGGCGGUUAUAUAAGUCAGAUGUGAAAUCCCCGGGCUCAACCUGGGAACUGCAUUUGAGACUGUAUGGCUAGAGUGUGUCAGAGGGGGGUAGAAUUCCACGUGUAGCAGUGAAAUGCGUAGAUAUGUGGAGGAAUACCGAUGGCGAAGGCAGCCCCCUGGGAUAACACUGACGCUCAUGCACGAAAGCGUGGGGAGCAAACAGGAUUAGAUACCCUGGUAGUCCACGCCCUAAACGAUGUCUACUAGUUGUCGGGACUUAAUUGUCUUGGUAACGCAGCUAACGCGUGAAGUAGACCGCCUGGGGAGUACGGUCGCAAGAUUAAAAAUCAAAGGAAUUGACGG